rnacentral:rRNA from 1 species
UACGUAGGUGGCGAGCGUUGUCCGGAUUUACUGGGCGUAAAGAGCGCGCAGGCGGUCGUUCAAGUCGCGUGUGAAAGCCCCCGGCUCAACUGGGGAGGGUCACGCGAUACUGAUCGACUCGAAGGCAGGAGAGGGAAGUGGAAUUCCCGGUGUAGCGGUGGAAUGCGUAGAGAUCGGGAAGAACAUCAGUGGCGAAGGCGGCCUGCUGGGCUGUUGCUGACGCUGAGGCGCGACAGCGUGGGGAGCAAACAGG